rnacentral:lncRNA from 1 species
GGAGGAAAAGGGAACCCUUUGAACAAGCGACAUGAAGCAGAUGGAGCUUCAGAAGUAACGUUUAAAAAUGUGCAUUGGAUAUGAUGUCUUUUCACAUUUUGGAAAUCGCCAGCACAGUGGAUUGUUUAAAAUAUACGAAGUGAGAUUUAGCAGCUGGGGAACACUUGUUUAUCUCCUUUAUAGUGUUAAAUCCCAAUAAAUGUUUUGAACAAUGAACUGGUAUGUAACACUACCAAAUAACUCUUUCCAUGAAAUGGGAAACUUGUUAGACCUCAUGGCACAGCUGAGUUUUGUAAUAGCAAAGGAUUAUGGACCACAUGUUAAUUUAGGAUAGCAUAUAAUCACAUAAUUGUUAGAACUAUAUUUCAGAAGUUGUUAACUUUAGUAUGCAACUUUAUUUUAUACAUCAUGAUGAGAUAUGCUUUAUAGUCUGGAAGCAGGUCCCAUCAGAGAGCCUUAGGUUGCGGGGUAGAACUACUUGCUUUGAUCAAAUCAUCCAUUGAGGAAAAACAAUCAGAAGGCCUAGAUGGCAUUUUGUGAUCAAAACUACCUGUUCGGUUGACCAGAUAUCCAUUUUUCAUCUUGGUUGGGUGGAUCAUAAGUCCGGCCUAGCAUGGUGUCUUGGGUUUUAGUUCUGCCAGAGACCACAAUAGGACACAAAUCCUGCUGAUCUGACUCAUUUCAAUUCAUAUGUCAGCCCUUAUGUGGUGGUAAAAAAAAAAAAAAAAUUAUCUUGCCAGUUUUAUUUUCCUUGGCUCUUACGUGAAGAUUAUGAAAGUUCCUUUCCCUGGAGCCUGUUACAUAAUGUGGACGCCAUAUACCAAAAGCUGAUUGAGAGGAGAAACCAAGACAGCAGGUAUGAAGCUCGUGUCACAAAAUCUGGGUUUGUCCUAAGACCUACAGAGAGCAUCCUGGAGGAAUCCACCAGAGUUAUUCCAGCAGACACUCAGAUAUAAGAGCUGGAUGGCCCCAUCCCAGGCUUAUGUGAGGUAAAAUAAGUGUUUGAAUUUUAUUAAAAAAUAACUAGUGGCAUUCUCUUGCGGCGCAGUAGGUUAAUGAUCCUGCAUUGUCACUGUAG